GUUCCCGUGGUGGCGCGGGGGUAGUGGUUACCACGUGCGCCUCACACGCGCAAGGUCCCCGGUUCGAUCCCGGGCGGGAACA
rnacentral:tRNA from 1 species